rnacentral:rRNA from 1 species
GAUGAACGCUGGCGGCGUGCCUAAUACAUGCAAGUCGAGCGAACAGACGAGGAGCUUGCUCCUCUGAUGUUAGCGGCGGACGGGUGAGUAACACGUGUAUAACCUACCUAUAAGACUGGGAUAACUUCGGGAAACCGGAGCUAAUACCGGAUAACAUGUUGAACCGCAUGGUUCAACAGUGAAAUACGGCCUUGCUGUCACUUAUAGAUGCAUCCCGGCCGCAUUAGAUGGUUGGUAAGGUCACGGCUUACCAAGGCAACGAUGCGUAGACGAACUGAGGGGGUGGUCGGCGACACGGGAACGGAGCCACGGUCCAGAGGCCUAAGGGAGGCAGCAGUAGGGAACCGUACGCAAUGGGCGGAAGCCUGACGGAGCAACGCGGCGUGAGAGAAGAAGGUCUUCGGAGCGUAAAGCUCUGUUAUGAGGGAAGAACAACUGUGUCAGUAACUAUGCACGUCUUGACGGUACCGAGUCAGAAAGCAACGGCUAACUACGUG